rnacentral:rRNA from 1 species
AUGGGCAAGAUGUUCGGCAUCAGUACGCUUGUCGCCCAAGUGAUUGCUUGUUGCAUGCAGAACAACGACGGGGUGUGGGAAGAUUGGGAGUACUCCUACCCCGACAGUACAAAGUUUACGGCGUCACCAGGGUCCAACCUUGUGUUCCACCACGGCUUGAUCUACAUACUAUUAGAAGACGGAAGAUUAGCCGUAUGCGACGAGCGCAGACACGAAGAAGGAUUUGAAAUUCUUGAGAAGCCACGGAGUUUCGGGUUUGUAUAUGAAGACACCUACUUGGUCGAGUCCGACCAGGGCGAGCUGAUCGUCGUCCUCAUCGGCCGACGCGGGUCGCCUGUCAACGUCUUCAAACUCAAUGAACACACGAUGGAGUGGGACAAGAUGGAGAGCCUAGAUGGCGGGGGCUUUGUUUACGCGUACGCUCACGACCAUAAUGAAGAAGACUGCCAUUAA